AGGCUGUGAUGACGAAAAAUUAUACCAUCAAACUUUGAAAGCAUAUUCAUUAUGCUUGUUGAUGCAACUACAAUUAAUACUCUCUGAUGCCU